AGCGGACCGACGGGAGCUUGCUCCCUUAGGUCAGCGGCGGACGGGUGAGUAACACGUGGGUAACCUGCCUGUAAGACUGGGAUAACUCCGGGAAACCGGGGCUAAUACCGGAUGCUUGAUUGAACCGCAUGGUUCAAUCAUAAAAGGUGGCUUUCAGCUACCACUUACAGAUGGACCCGCGGCGCAUUAGCUAGUUGGUGAGGUAACGGCUCACCAAGGCGACGAUGCGUAGCCGACCUGAGAGGGUGAUCGGCCACACUGGGACUGAGACACGGCCCAGACUCCUACGGGAGGCAGCAGUAGGGAAUCUUCCGCAAUGGACGAAAGUCUGACGGAGCAACGCCGCGUGAGUGAUGAAGGUUUUCGGAUCGUAAAACUCUGUUGUUAGGGAAGAACAAGUACCGUUCGAAUAGGGCGGCACCUUGACGGUACCUAACCAGAAAGCCACGGCUAACUACGUGCCAGCAGCCGCGGUAAUACGUAGGUGGCAAGCGUUGUCCGGAAUUAUUGGGCGUAAAGCGCGCGCAGGCGGUUUCUUAAGUCUGAUGUGAAAGCCCCCGGCUCAACCGGGGAGGGUCAUUGGAAACUGGGGAACUUGAGUGCAGAAGAGGAGAGUGGAUUCCACGUGUAGCGGUGAAAUGCGUAGAGAUGUGGAG
rnacentral:rRNA from 1 species